UGUUGCGUUUUUUUCAAACAAUUAGCAUCAUAACUGUCGUGUUCAAACGGCAUUUUAAUACACUUCCUGUCCUGCUGUCCACUUGUGCUGAGUGAUGUAUCCUCUCUGCCAGGACGCUCCAUGUCAACAAGUCCUUGCCUCCGAGCUGAGGGAUGGGGGAGUUGCAGAGGCGGAUAUGGGUGAUGACACCAGAACCACAGGUGACGGAGCAGGAAGACCAGGGUGACCAAUGGCUCCAGCCGCCGUCCUGCUUGACUAAAGGCCCCAAAGAAAAGGGAACUGAAGUGGCAGAGACAGAAGCCUUGGAAUGAGAUCAGAGCUUUGAUGAGACAUUUAUCUUCACUCCCACGACCGCACGCUUUUGAUCCCAUUAAGAGUUUUAUUCACCGAAUGGGAGGAUGGAAGGAGAAAGAGGAAAACCACAGCCAUGGUUGAGGUCAAGGGGGCUGAGGCAUGCGGGGAGCCGGCAGACGGAGCAUGACCUUCCAGGCGGGAAGAGAAAACAUUUGACAGGAGACACAACUCGGGGACGAAGAUGGAUCACACCGAGAAUAGCAAAGACGUUGUCCCGGAAAAAGGGCCAAUACAUGAUCUGCACUCAAAAGGGGCAUUCGUCUUCAUGCGUGCAACGGUUUAGCGUUACAUUUUUGCAAUCGCUAAAGUUUUUCACUGAAACGCGACGCAGCUGGAUGAAUGUCUUCCGACCGCAAUGAACUUGUGCACCAAGGCUUUUUAGCCAGACUCGUGUCGUAGACUGAAGUAUCUCAUCAACUACUGGAUGGAUCGUUUUAAGUCUUGUUUUCCAUCCAACAAUUAUUGGAGACUGUUCAUGUCAGACACGUUCACAACAGCAAGAGCAUUUCUGCAGCACCAAUGGCGAGGGUUGGGGCCCACUCGCUCGUCUUCUUGCUGUAUUCUCACACAGGCUUACUAAGACAUUAUCCAGAAAUUUUUACCGGAGGAAUGGCAGCAAAGAUUCUUGACCAACAUUCGUGGACAUUUGUGUUCUCACAUACAGCCCCUCAGGGAGAAUUGGAUGUCUCAUGAACUGUUCCCGUGUCCAUAUGUGUUCAAAGUUUUGCUUUAUGGCUAAAAACCUGAAAUUUAAAGCACUAAUUAGCAAAUGUUAGCAUCCAGACGCACUAAACUUAAAUGCCUAACAUGGUGGAUAUAAACUCUGCUAGACAUCAGCAUGUUGGCAUUUUUGUUCUAAGCACAUUUUCAUGCUAAUGUUAGCAGUUAGCUCGGAUCACCACUAGGCCUCACAGGGCUGCUCUCUGCAUGUUUCGCGAUGCCUCAAAAGUAUUGCUCUGAACUAAAACAUUUGUUGUAGUAUUAUAACAACAAUUCUUUAUCAAAUGAAAACUGCACUUUCAAUAAAUUGGUUUUGCCAUUGUUUUUUUAAGUCACAAAACACAAUGCUGCUGCUUGUUUGCACCAGUGAAACCGUGACCAUCUUCUGUUUUGCAACACGACAAUUUCCUUUUGUGCUGGCGUAAGCAUUCCUGCAGAUUUCCUGCAAAGCACUGUAACAGCAGCUGUCAGAAAACAUCAUCGGAUGGCUGAUUCAUUUGACAUGUUGUCUCCUAGUUCCUUUUCCAAAGUGAUUGCAACCCCAUCACACUCGACAUGUUGUCGAGAUUAAACAAACCCUCUGAAUUACACAGCUUUGCUGCAGCAGAUUUAAUGUUUCAGUAUUAUAUUGUAGCUGCCCUUUAGCCAAAAUGCUUCGCUAUCAUUGUCCACACUUA